UUGAAACCCUAAAUCAUUGAACAUUUGAUUCCAUGUGACCAUGGCAACUUAGCUUGCCCAAAGAAAUAAGAACAUCCCUCAAAAAUGCUUCUCUGACUCAAACGCACCUCUCUAGGGUUGAGAAUAAAGAUGCUUCAACUGCCAGUCUAAUUUGACGCACUAACCGUGGUGUUCGGACUAGGGGACCAACUUCCAAAAAUAAGUAAUUCUUCUUUUUAUUUUCUUUUAAGUUUUCAGUUUGUUUUCUUUUGUUCUAUGUUCUUUAUGGUUUUUGCCCCAUCUUAACCUGCCC
rnacentral:lncRNA from 1 species